GUGAACGCUGGCGGUAGGCCUAACACAUGCAAGUCGAACGGCAGCACAGUAAGAGCUUGCUCUUACGGGUGGCGAGUGGCGGACGGGUGAGGAAUCCAUCGGAAUCUACUUUUUCGUGGGGGAUAACGUAGGGAAACUUACGCUAAUACCGCAUACGACCUACGGGUGAAAGCAGGGGAUCUUCGGACCUUGCGCGAUUGAAUGAGCCGAUGUCGGAUUAGCUAGUUGGCGGGGUAAAGGCCCACCAAGGCGACGAUCCGUAGCUGGUCUGAGAGGAUGAUCAGCCACACUGGAACUGAGACACGGUCCAGACUCCUACGGGAGGCAGCAGUGGGGAAUAUUGGACAAUGGGCGCAAGCCUGAUCCAGCCAUACCGCGUGGGUGAAGAAGGCCUUCGGGUUGUAAAGCCCUUUUGUUGGGAAAGAAAAGCAGCAGGUUAAUACCCCGCUGUUCUGACGGUACCCAAAGAAUAAGCACCGGCUAACUUCGUG
rnacentral:rRNA from 1 species